GACGAACGCUGGCGGCGUGCUUAAUACAUGCAAGUCGAACGGAAAGGCCCUGCUUUUGUGGGGUGCUCGAGUGGCGAACGGGUGAGUAACACGUGAGUAACCUGCCCUUGACUUUGGGAUAACUUCAGGAAACUGGGGCUAAUACCGGAUAGGAGCUCCUGCUGCAUGGUGGGGGUUGGAAAGUUUCGGCGGUUGGGGAUGGACUCGCGGCUUAUCAGCUUGUUGGUGGGGUAGUGGCUUACCAAGGCUUUGACGGGUAGCCGGCCUGAGAGGGUGACCGGCCACAUUGGGACUGAGAUACGGCCCAGACUCCUACGGGAGGCAGCAGUGGGGAAUAUUGCACAAUGGGCGGAAGCCUGAUGCAGCAACGCCGCGUGCGGGAUGACGGCCUUCGGGUUGUAAACCGCUUUCGCCUGUGACGAAGCGUGAGUGACGGUAAUGGGUAAAGAAGCACCGGCUAACUACGUG
rnacentral:rRNA from 1 species